rnacentral:ncRNA from 1 species
ACGACGCACCAGGGGUGCCUGUAUCUGCUCGAGCACUAGCUCUUUGGUUGGGAUUUGAGUAGGUCAGGCUGAGAUGGUCCCUUUGAACCUUAAUAGGUUAAUGCCUGCGUAGGGAGUGUGCAUUUUUUUUCCU